GGAACAUCUAAAGCAGAGCAGGAAGCCAGGAAGUUAUCCUGGAGGAGAUGAACCCUGGGCUGAGUUUUCAGGGGCCCAAUGUGAAGGAGUAUUAAACAAAUAGAACAACUUUUCAUGAAAAUAGACUAUGAAGCCGUGGGCAGAAUUCAGUGGGAUGGCUUCUGUGCAUAUUUGCAGCUAGUAUAUUCGGAGCAGGCUGAUGCUCGGGCUCGACAGCAAGAGGCUUCCUUCCAGCUGCCUGCUCUGCUACAGGGGCUGCCGUACAGGGGUCCCGUGCUGCGCAUUCUUGCUGCGCCUGAUGACACCUUAAUCAUGAUCAGAGAAGAUGGA